ACCACUCCAGUCACUUUCCAGGCAAGAGAGGGCUACCUUCAGCAUCUCUAGUGAAAGUAGUGAAUUAGCACUUCAAGGGUGAGAUGGCAUGGACAGAAGCUUCUGGGACUGAGUUCACCAUUGGAAGCUUCUUUCCAGCUUCCUGAAGGUCUCUGGAGGUCUCUUUUUACCUGCGAGGAUGAUCCCUGGCGGCUCCCUGCCGACAUUCUUCAAAACUAGGCUAUUUCCCCAGUGUCCUGCAGAUAGAACAGAAGAGGAAAUGAUGAAACUGUUUGUAGUGGCCUGUGCUGAAGUGUCUGCCCUUGCUGUGCAUCUCACUCCAGGACCUCCUGAAGAGCGCUGAUCCUGCAUUGUACAUGUGGUUCUUCUCCUGUGCCUCCCCACCUGUCAGAUAAUUUCUUGAGGACAUGGAUGACUCUCUGGCACCGACAGUUCCAGGAUGCCAGUUCUCUACAUCGUGACAACUUUGAAUGUGAUCAUUGUAUCACCUACUAAGUCGGGCUGAACUAGAAAUUAUGGCUAAAGUUCCAGAAAGUUCCAGAAAGCACAUUUGGCCUUACAAUAGAUAAUUACGAACUGCAAGAGCUGCGCAUUUACUAAAUGAUAUGCUCUGCCAAGGAGCAAGUUCCCCAUCACAGAGAGCAGCAGAAGCCACCAUUAGGAAUGCUGCAGUGAAUUUCUGAGUUGAGUAUGGGGUUAAAACACAAGUCCCUAGGUUUAGUCCAAUCUUAAAAAUUCUAUGAUUUUAUCUUUUAAAAAUAAUGUUUGCAUAGUAUUUUAAAGGUUUUAAUUAACCUUACAUACAUGAUCUCAUUGAUUCUUUUUUUAAAAAAUGGAGGUCACUUUUUCCUGGCUUAAACAAAUGAAAAUAAAUAUAAACAAUAUAGACUUCUGAAGAAGGAUGGCAGAAUAGAGGCAAAAUAGAGACUCUCCUCCCCCAACAUCUAAAAUAUGAAUAAAAAUAAUAAAAAUCAACAAUAACAACAACAAAAAAAAAGACACAAAAAAACAGCAACAGCAAGAACACAAGGAAAUGGGAGCAACCUAAUGUCAUAGACUUCAAAAAGGGGAAGACAAAGAAAGGAAAGAGAUUUUAGAAAAGUAGUUUCUAACUCUGUGCUCACUUUGGAAGCCUUGAAUUAUGAAAAUAUUGAAAAAUCGAAUCAAAAGCUAUAAAUCAGAAAAAAAAAAUUAGCAGAGCAUAUUGUUUUCCCUAAAUGCUUUAGGUUAUAGAACAGGUUAAUAAGAAUAUGAAUUCAACAUGGUGGGUCCCAAAGAGGAAAUGAAACAAGAGAAUGACCUGGAAAAGUGAUUUUCUACUGUCCUAUAGAAACAAAUUAAAGACCAAAACAAUAUUAUUUUUAUUUUUUUUUAAUUAAACUUUAAUUCUAGGGUACAUGUGCACAACGUGCAGGUUUGAUACAUAGGUAUACAUGUGCCAUGUUGGUUUGCUGCACCCAUCAACUCAUCAUUUACAUUAGGUGUUUCUCCUAAUGCUAUCCCUCCCCCAGCCCCCUACCCCCUGACAGGCCCGGGUGUGUGAUGUUCCCCCACUGUGUCCAAGUGUUUUCAUUCAAAAUGACAUUAUUAUAGAAUGGAUAAAUCAUCAAAAAAAAUCAUC